UAUAUAUAUAUAUAUAUAUAUGCUGACUUCAUGUUUUUUUAAAUAUUUAAUUAGAUGUGUUUUUGAUACUUCUUUUCUUUGAAUAAAUUCUUUGGUUAGGAGCUCCGUUCCAGCUUGAAAUCAAGCAUCGAUAAUUAAUUUGUUCUGCAGACACCACCAUCAAGAACGAAAUAAGUGGAAGGAAGGAAGGACAUCCAUUCCAACGGUCAAAAUACAUUUGCUUUCAAGAGGAAAACAAUGAGGCAGAACAUCUCGAUAAAUUGCACCACGACACACUGGUGUUCAUAAAAAUAGAAGGAGAGCAUGGCAUCAGUGACUUAGGCAUCCUUUUAUGUCGCGUCACCUAUCAGUCAAGCAAAUCUCUUCUACGCGUACGUGAGCCACUGGGCACCUGCAUCCAGGACCAUCAUUUUAGUUAGUUACUGAUAAAAACAAACCGUAAUGCAAUUCAGAAGCACAUAAUUGCUACCCCACUGGAGAGAGAGAGAGAGAGAGAGAGAGAGAGAGAGAGAU
rnacentral:lncRNA from 1 species